UCUACGGGUGGCAGCAGUGGGGAAUAUUGGGCAAUGGGCGCAAGCCUGACCCAGCAACGCCGCGUGAAGGAAGAAGGCUUUCGGGUUGUAAACUUCUUUUCUCAGGGACGCAGAAAGUGACGGUACCUGAGGAAUAAGCCACGGCUAACUACGUGCCAGCAGCCGCGGUAAUACGUGGGGGGCAAGCGUGAUCCGGAUGUACUGGGUGUAAAGGUGGUGUAGGCGGGGCAGCAAGUCAGAUGUGAAAACCACGGGCUCAACCUGUGGCCUGACUUUGAAACUGUAGUUCUGGAGUAGUGGAGAGGCAGACGGAAGUCCUAGUGUAGCGGUGAAAUGCGUAGAUAUUAGGAGGAACACCAGUGGCGAAGGCGGUCUGCUGGACAGCAACUGACGCUGAGGCGCGAAAGCGUGGGGAGCAAACAGGAUUAGAUACCCGAGUAGUC
rnacentral:rRNA from 1 species